rnacentral:rRNA from 1 species
AGUGGUAUCAACGCAGAGUACAUGGGCGAAGUCGUAACAUGGUAGUUAACGGUGAACCUGUAACUG